rnacentral:rRNA from 1 species
GGAAUUACUGGGCGUAAAGCGUGCGCAGGCGGAGACUUAAGUCAGGCGUGAAAGCCCCGGGCUUAACCUGGGAACUGCGUUUGUGACUGCAAGACUCGAGUGCGGCAGAGGGGGGUGGAAUUCCACGUGUAGCAGUGAAAUGCGUAGAGAUGUGGAGGAACACCGAUGGCGAAGGCAGCCCCCUGGGUCGACACUGACGCUCAUGCACGAAAGCGUGGGUAGCAAACAGGAUUAGAUACCCUGGUAGUCCACGCCCUAAACGAUGCCAACUAGGUGUUGGAGAAGGAGACGUCUUUAGUACCGUAGCUAACGCGUGAAGUUGGCCGCCUGGGGAGUACGGUCGCAAGAUUAAAACUCAAAGGAAUUGACGGGGACCCGCACAAGCGGUGGAUGAUGUGGAUUAAUUCGAUGCAACGCGAAAAACCUUACCUACCCUUGACAUGCCAGGAACCCUGCAGAGAUGUGGGGGUGCUCGAAAGAGAGCCUGGACACAGGUGCUGCAUGGCUGUCGUCAGCUCGUGUCGUGAGAUGUUGGGUUAAGUCCCGCAACGAGCGCAACCCUUGUCAUUAGUUGCCAUCAUUCAGUUGGGCACUCUAAUGA